rnacentral:lncRNA from 1 species
GGCUUUGGGCCAGGCACUGAGUGGCAAACAAGAAGGAACACAUUCCGGGAAGGCAAGGAGCCCUGCCAGCACGAAGGCAGCAGCGAAAGCAGGGCUCUGCUGGGUACCAGGUGUUCCUUGGCUCUGUGGAGGUCAGGCACGCAGGCGGAUGAACUCAGGUUUCUCUAGAAUAUCAUUUCAGAGGCUUAAAUGCCUCCCACCCUCUCGCUGUCAGCGGACAGGGCAUGUGGAACUGUUAAACGUUAAAACUCUCUGCUCUGGGGCCCAGCCCGUGCUCUCUAAAUAAAGGUAGGAGCGGAAAGAGUGUUGUUGCCAUCAUGAAAUCACACUUCACAGGAGCCAGAUUUCGGCGAUUCUGUGUCUAAGAGAAAAUGCUAAUCCAAACAAGGGCAGGUUGGAGAAGAGCCUGGGAUUUCUAUGCCCUAGAAACUGCACUCUCCACCCUUGCAGCCCAGAAACACAAACACACACACACUUGUUCUCCACGCCUGCCUUCCGAGUGGCCAGAGCUGGGGGAAGUCUGGAGAGCCCUCGGAAACGCCGUCCUUUCAGAAUCAGCGCUGGCCCUUCCCCAGGUGAUGAGAGAAGAGAGCGAGGAGGACCAAAGCGGAAGCGGAUAGAGCCAUUCUUUUCGGGGCAAAUGGCCACACAAGCCUUCCUGAAGAUUCCCUUCUUACUUUGGAUAGGACACAGGACUGUUCAGAGAAGCUGUCUUUCUGUGCAUUUGUUGGUUGCUAGGGAAAAACAGGCCCAUAUCAGGAAGGGGGCUUCAUGAGGACACCUUUCCCUAACAGCCCCACCAUGCCCAUGGCCGCUGCCUCUGGCCCCCACCCAAGACUGGCCCUGAUAUUGAGGGUGACACUGAAAAUGUCACAGUUCAGAGGCAGCAGCGCAGGCAGAGGUUCUGGGAUGGCUGACGGAGUAGGCGGGUCUCACACAGCGUCUUUCCCGAAAGCCAGAAGUUCUGCUUAUGCCUAGGCUGAGCACAGGAGGCCUUAUCAAAGCUCAGGAGCUGAUGCGCUGAAGGUGUGGGAGGUGGACGCCCAUCAGCCUACAGGUGAGUGUGGCCAGGAGGGGAGGAGCCGUCUUAUACCAGGAAGUGGCCUCAGCCACCUUGGACAGUCAGGACAGCUUGAUGAUGAGAGCCAAACCAUCUCAAAAAUGUCCCUGAGGGAGAGCGUAGGAGGGAACAGAUCCUCUCUCCCUGGGCAGGUCGGGCUCUCCAAUGGCCUUUGAGUUCCUGCCUCCACUAAUCGCUCCAAAGAAUCAUUACCCUGUUCCUGCUCCUCCAGGCUACACAUCAAUAAAGCCUGAGCCGUCAAGCCAGCCCCAACCAAGUGGGCCCAGGGGCUGACCAAGAAAGAGAGGGUGGCCAAGAAGCAGGGCCGUGCUGGGGCAGUGUGGUGGUCAGGAACAGGUAACAAGGUCACGUGCAGUGGUCCUGCUGCAGAUUAGGAGCUGGAGCCUGGAACCUACAAAUCUCAAUGCUCAGUCACCCUCCGCUCUGUGACUGAGGCCAGCCAAAGUUCUCUUCUUCAAGAACAGAGUUUUCGCCUCAGCCCAAGAUCUGCCAGGACCCUCAGAGAUUGAUUCAGCCUCACCCGCUCCCACCAUACCAUUGUACAGAUUAUGAAACUGAGACCUGCCAAGGGACAGGCUGUGUCCGGUCCUACAGUGAACAGCCAGUGACCUCACCCACAAAAUCAGCCCAGCCAUGGCCAUGUGGCCUGGUUACCUCUGUCCUCAACCUUAGAGAGGAUUUUGCCACACAUAUCAACAUAUACCUACAACAGUCUUGUGAAGUGACAGAUUUUGCUAGAGAUUUGACUCUCAAAGUUGAUUUCUGGAUUUAUUUGGUUCCAUCAUGUCACAUUUCACAGAGGUUUUUUUUUUUCCCUUGAUUUUUAAAGAUUAUAGAAAAUAUGAAAAAUAUAUAUAAGAUCAAAAUCACCUAAAGAUUCCCCAAAAAUCACCCAAAUAAAAAAUGUAUGAUAAACAUAUAACCUAUGUAAAUGGUUAUAUAAUCUAUAAUUUGUAUACCCUAC